AACCCCCAGGACCACCAUCACUGUGAAUGAACAUGAAGUGAUGUUUGGCUAGCCAAGAGUCAGUGCAUGUCAGGCUAAUUUAUGAUAAUUACCAAGCCAUCGGCUGGUACCUGGACAAACUGUCUAUGAUUCUUCACCCAGCUGGCCUAGGUUCCACAAGUUCCCAAAGGGCUGUUCUUCCAGAUCCUCCAGUGCCUCACUCCCCUGUAAUGGGGUGAUAUGUCCACCAUCCUUGCCAUGUGACUUUGCAGUACCUCCCCCUAGAACAGACCAAGCAUGCCUCCCCACCAGACUGAUGUUGGGUUUGGCCGUGGGUCAGCUAAUGGAAUGUUGGUAGAACAUGUGGCAGUUAGGAGCCAAAGUCUUAAGAGCCAUCACACGUUUCCACUCGACAUCUUCUGCUGGAGUGAGCUGCCAUGCGAUGAACCUGUACUAGAGCACCUGUGGCCUCCUUAGCCCAAGCAAGCUCCAAAUCCCAGUGGAAAGCUCAGGCCUCUCCCGAAGGACCCAGGACCUCAGAAACUCUGAGCUGCUCUCCUCAACGCUUUAAUCUCUUCUUGCUGAAGCCGCCCACCCUAUUACUAAGAAACCGCUGCAGCUGCUACAGAUAGAAGAAACACAGGGACAUCAAGUUAUGAAAGGCCAACUGACUUCCAUCCUUCCUUCCGUGAAAUUUCACCAAGCACCCACCUGCUACUAGAUCCAAGGAUACAAAGCCAGUGGAGAACCCCCCUCCUCUUUAUAGGGUUGUUCACAGGUUUGUGGGAGUUGAGCAGGUACGCAAAGAGCUCCAAUGGUGUUCUGUGAGAUAAAGGCCUCUGCAAGCAAGCCUUUUUUGGUCAAAGAAAUGAAGAGCCAGUGUGGAAACCAGAUGUCUGGGUCUGAAGAGGCCAUCUCAGUCAUUAGUAGCACAGCAAAGGGCCACACUAGUUUGAACCCUGGAUCCUACUAUCUGGUAGGUGCACAACUUUGACAACUUACCCAGUUUCUCAUGGCCUUGUUUCCCUCACCUGUAAAAUGGGUUUAUGGUAGCACUUGUUUCCUAGAGUUGUUAUAUUAAGAACCUCUCAGACAAGGCUGGCAGUAAGUACUCUAGGAUGAUUUGCUGCAAUCAUGAGAAUUAACUCAUCUAGGUCAGGUCUCUGGAGAAAUCUGAAGCCCGCCCUGCCCUCUCUCUUCUGUCUACCACCCAGCUGCCUCUCACCCAAGAAGCUGGACUCACUGCAGGGACCCAGUCCUGUAGUGAGAGGCAGUCAUGUCCUGAGCAGGCCAGACACCAGGGAACCAGUGGCUUUAAUCCCUCCCCACUCCCCAUUUGCCCUCUUCCUCCUCCUCACCCUAUACCCUCACCACCCCCACCUAACGCCCCCCCC